GACGAACGCUGGCGGCGUGCUUAACACAUGCAAGUCGAACGAGGUCCACCGCGUAGCAAUACAAGGGAAGACCUAGUGGCGAACGGGUGCGUAACACGUGAGGAACUUGUCCCGGUCUCUGGGAUAACAGUUGGAAACGACUGCUAAUACCGGAUGACGUCGGAAUCUCGCAUGGGAUACUGACGAAAGGGUUACUGGAUCGGGAGAGCCUCGCGGCCUAUCAGCUUGUUGGUGAGGUAACGGCUCACCAAGGCAUCGACGGGUAGCUGGUCUGAGAGGAUGAUCAGCCACACUGGGACUGAGACACGGCCCAGACUCCUACGGGAGGCAGCAGUGGGGACUCUUGCGCAAUGGGCGAAAGCCUGACGCAGCAACGCCGCGUGCGGGAAGAAGGCCCUCGGGUUGUAAACCGCUUUCAGUAGGAACGAAAAUGACGGUACCUGCAGAAGAAGGUGCGGCCAACUACGUGCCAGCAGCCGCGGUAAUGUCUGUACU
rnacentral:rRNA from 1 species